rnacentral:rRNA from 1 species
UACGUAGGGGGCAAGCGUUGUCCGGAUUUAUUGGGCGUAAAGAGUGUGUAGGCGGCCAGGUAGGUCAGCUGUGAAAACUCGAGGCUCAACCUCGAGACGCCGGUUGAAACCAUCUGGCUAGAGUCCGGAAGAGGAGAGUGGAAUUCCUGGUGUAGCGGUGAAAUGCGCAGAUAUCAGGAAGAACACCCGUGGCUAAGGCGGCUCUCUAGUACGGUACUGACGCUGAGACGCGAAAGCGUGGGGAGCGAACAGG